rnacentral:lncRNA from 1 species
UCGGCUCGCCUUCCCCGCCCAUCCCUAAACAGCGUAGCUAACCCGGGGAUGGAACCUUCUGAAGCGCCCAGCGAAGCAAAGCCCUGGCUCUGGCUAAGUUUCUGGUCGUGGAAGCCAGAUGAAGACUAAGAAAAUUGACCGGCGAGCGGUGCCCCUGUUCGUGCCCAGGUGUCCCGAGAGGCGCGCGCUGGCAGCUGUGCAGGUGGGGAGCCCAGGCUCAGGUGCAUGCGGUCAGGUGGCGCCACCUCCUUUGCAGCCUUUGCCUACACCGGUCACCCCAGGACCUGAACUGGGAGUGGGAAUGCUAGUGGGUUGGGAGUUUGUUUUCUUUUUCUUGCUGUUUUGUUUUGUUUUUUUAAAUAACACAAUAGGUUACAUUCAUUUUCCUUAAACUUGGGAGACUUGAACGUCCUGGUUUUCAUUGGUGAAGGGAGCUCAGCGAGGUUGAGGCUGUGAAAAGAGAGGAACCGGAAUUCGACCCUCCCUGGGUGCACUGCAGAGUUCAGGCUCUUUACAACCCCAGUAUUUGCUUGGCAGGAAGUUUUCCGGUUCUCAGGCGCGCCCCCUACUCGGUUGCUGCUUCGCUCCUCCACGCUAAAGCCUGGCUGUAUCCUUACCCAAUCAGAAUUAGUUUGGCCUCGCCCCGCCCUUAAUUCCCUGGGUAACCCUGGAGGCCUCUGCUCCUUUUAUGCCUUAACUGUCAGGUUUAUAAUUAAUCAGGCAAGGUCUUGCAAAAUGAAUUUCUCAUCAGUUUGUAGCUCAAAAAGAGAUCAGCAGCUUUCUGGAGUCAGACUUACAUCAGAACCCAAAAAUGUGACUUGCUAUUUAAUAAUAAGUGCUCAUCAUUUAUUAAGUAUCCCUCCUCGAUCUUCACAUAGAAUUGCAGCAGUUACCUGGUGCCAAAAAGUUGCAUAAGUUAAGGAUAAAGAAGAAACUGUAAUGUGGAGACUUGAAGUGUAAAAAGCCACCAUUUACCUUCCUGGGAAAGACAUCCACCUAGUUGAUAAAUUUAUAAGGUUCAUUUCAUGACCCGGAUGUACUGAAGGUGCCGUGGUCAUAGCAGACUCUGAUAAAUCAUCUCCGGUAUUUCACCUUUGAGAUCAUGUCAAGAUCCCCAGCAGGGAGUUUUCAUUUGGUAACAGUUUCGGGAGCGGCUGUUGCUUUUGUUUUGCUAGGAGGUUGUUGGUAAGAAGGAGGGAGUCCAUCACACUUAUGUUGCUCAGGUUUGUCUGGAACUCUCAUUCUCAACCUUAGCCUCCUGAGUGCUGGAAUCCUGGGUGUGUGUCUCACGACUCACAAUAAAUGUCUGAGCAGAAAUCUAUUCUUACUUGGCAAAGUCGAAAACUGGAGCUAGAGUUGGUUUAUGAGCUUGCUGUAAAGGCUAAUUUUUGAUUGUCGAUUCGAUCAAAUUAAGAAUCACCUGAUGACCCUGUCUCG